AUGGCAUACAUGCCUAAUACGACUGUGCAGGCAACUUCGCUGGAGGGUAUGACAACCCAUGGUGAGACGAAACUGAAAGAUGUUAAAAACAUGAAUUUGUGUAAAUUCAUUGCUGACUUCCUGCAUGAUGAAUUCUCAAAUAAGAUGUACCGGAAGGGCUGCCGCCUGCACCUAAUGCUCAUGUACGUCAACCGUCUUGAUUUGCCUACUAUUGAUUUUACUGAGAUUGGAGGUCCGCCGCCUCCACAUAAGUUUGCUGUCUCUGCCUGGAGUUAUGAUGUUGUCAAGGUUGUGCUUGCCGAAGACAGGAUAUCUGAUACAAAAUAUGGCAAACUGCAGCUGAUGGCCAAGCAUGCCAUUGACUAUAGUGUGCUUGGUGGGCCAAGAAAUUUCGGCAAGUGA
rnacentral:rRNA from 1 species